rnacentral:rRNA from 1 species
CCUACGGGCGGCUGCAGUGGGGAAUAUUGCACAAUGGGCGCAAGCCUGAUGCAGCCAUGCCGCGUGUGUGAAGAAGGCCUUCGGGUUGUAAAGCACUUUCAGCGGGGAGGAAGGCGGUGAGGUUAAUAACCUCAUCGAUUGACGUUACCCGCAGAAGAAGCACCGGCUAACUCCGUGCCAGCAGCCGCGGUAAUACGGAGGGUGCAAGCGUUAAUCGGAAUUACUGGGCGUAAAGCGCACGCAGGCGGUCUGUCAAGUCGGAUGUGAAAUCCCCGGGCUCAACCUGGGAACUGCAUUCGAAACUGGCAGGCUAGAGUCUUGUAGAGGGGGGUAGAAUUCCAGGUGUAGCGGUGAAAUGCGUAGAGAUCUGGAGGAAUACCGGAGGCGAAGGCGGCCCCCUGGACAAAGACUGACGCUCAGGUGCGAAAGCGUGGGGAGCAAACAGGAUUAGAUACCCUUGUAGUC